rnacentral:rRNA from 1 species
AUUGAACGCUGGCGGCAGGCCUAACACAUGCAAGUCGAGCGAGCGGCGGACGGGUGAGUAAUGUAUGGGGACUGCACGAUAGAGGGGGAUAACUACUGGAAACGGUGGCUAAUACAGCAUACCAUCAGAUAACCCAUAUGGGAUUAGCUAUUAGGUGGGGUAACGGCUCACCUAGGCGACGAUCACUAGCUGGUCUGAGAGGAUGAUCAGCCCCACUGGGACAGAGACACGUCCAAGACUCCUACGGAGGCAUCAGAGGCAAAUAUUGCACCAUGAACGCCAGCCUGAUGCAGCCAUGCCGCGUGUAUGAAGAAGGCCAUAGUAUUGUAAACUACUGUCAGCGCGGAGGCGUUACCCGCAGAAGAAACACCGGCUAACUCCGUGCCAGCAACCGCGGUCAUUC